rnacentral:lncRNA from 1 species
AACAUUUUUGGUUCUCCCCAAGCAGUAGGCGCAAUUUCUCUUUCAUCCCCGACAGUAUUGUUCAGCACCCGGUGUUUGUUAAUUUAUCCAGGCGGUUAAUUCUCAGUUGUCCCCAGCUGAGUUGGUGUUCAUUCUCCAGCCGAGUUUAUAUAGGUUCUCCAACGGAAUGUGGACAUUUCGUUAUGGCAGUUCGCAUGGUUCCAGCAGGACUUUGGUUUCCCUACCAGUCGCAAUCAGAUUAGCUCCCAUACAGAGUUUCCUCCUGGUUUCUGAGCAGCUAUUUGUG